GUCUGAGUGAGGAUAGGGAACUCUCCAAAUUGGGGGACUUCUAAGGGUUCAAGACCAAAUGUGGAAGAGCCACAUAGGAGAGAGAAAGCAGAAUGUGAUAUCAGAAGCUGCUGCUGUCCAAAGAGGAACCAAAGAAGAAACAAGGAAUGAGUAGAUUGAGGGGUGCAGCUAAGACUGAACACAGCAGAAAAGCACAAGGACUCCAGCUAGCUGACUUCCUGCGGCACAUCGGCCCGACUGCAUCUGACCGUUCCCACACAGUACCUUGCAGGAAAUGUGUCCAAUCUUCCCACAGGUUUCACGGAAGCAGAAAACACUGGAGAGGAGGGCUCACUCCACAAGACCCCAAGAGCUUUGGAGAAUCCAGAUGUCGCCACAAUCCUUAGCCCCGCCCUCAGCUUCGCUCCCUACUGUCCCCAAGAAAAUUAAAGACGCCUGGAACAAAUGAUGGAGUUCGUGUCUCCCUGGGACCCACGAGUCUGUGUGUGUGUGAAACACUGAUUUUUUUUUUUUUUUUUUAUAGAGACUAAGUUAUUUUUUUUCCUGGAAAGAUGUUGACAUGCCUUUGGAGGAUCAUUGGCCGGGAAAGUUUCCUGAUGCAUGAAGACAUGGUCUUCCUUCUCCUUGGCACACACGCACAUCUCCCUGAGGCCCUGGAUCAGCAGCCUCAUCACCACUCCGCUCAUCCGUUCCACUGAGCUGGGGUCACAAAGCAGGCCAGGGCACUAGCUCCUUCCACAGCUCUCAGCAAAUGUGGCUUUCUGCAACUGCCAUGCUGAAAACAGCAUACAUUUAUUCUCUUCUAGUCCU